CCCGCCGGACCUGACUGCUAUCGGAUUGAUACUAAGCCAUGCGAGUCAUUGUAGUAAUACAAGGCAUACGGCUCAGUAACGCGUAGUCAACCUAACCUAUGGACGGGAAUAACCUCGGGAAACUGAGUAUAAUGCCCGAUAGAACAUUAUGCCUGGAAUGGUUUAUGUUCCAAAUGAUUUAUCGCCGUAGGAUGGGACUGCGGCCUAUCAGUUUGUUGGUGAGGUAAUGGCCCACCAAGACUAUUACAGGUACGGGCUCUGAGAGGAGUAGCCCGGAGAUGGGUACUGAGACACGGACCCAGGCCCUAUGGGGCGCAGCAGGCGAGAAAACUUUGCAAUGUGCGAAAGCACGACAAGGUUAAUCCGAGUGGUUUCUGCUAAAGGAACCUUUUGUUAGUCCUAGAAACACUAACGAAUAAGGGGUGGGCAAGUUCUGGUGUCAGCCGCCGCGGUAAAACCAGCACCUCAAGUGGUCAGGAUGAUUAUUGGGCCUAAAGCAUCCGUAGCCGGCUCUGUAAGUUUUCGGUUAAAUCUGUACGCUCAACGUACAGGCUGCCGGGAAUACUGCAGAGCUAGGGAGUGGGAGAGGUAGACGGUACUCGGGAGGAAGGGGUAAAAUCCUUUGAUCUCUCGAUGACCACCUGUGGCGAAGGCGGUCUACCAGAACACGUCCGACGGUGAGGGAUGAAAGCUGGGGGAGCAAACCGGAUUAGAUACCCGGGUAGUCCCAGCUGUAAACUAUGCAAACUCAGUGAUGCAUUGACUUGUGGUCAAUGCAGUGCUGCAGGGAAGCCGUUAAGUUUGCCGCCUGGGAAGUACGUACGCAAGUAUGAAACUUAAAGGAAUUGGCGGGGGAGCACCACAAGGGGUGAAGCCUGCGGUUCAAUUGGAUUCAACGCCGGA
rnacentral:rRNA from 1 species